GACGAACGCUGGCGGCGUGCUUAACACAUGCAAGUCGAGCGGUAAGGCCCUUUCGGGGGUACACGAGCGGCGAACGGGUGAGUAACACGUGGGUGACCUGCCCUCAGCUCUGGGAUAAGCCUGGGAAACCGGGUCUAAUACCGGAUAUGACUCCAUGACGCAUGUUGUGGGGUGGAAAGCCUUGUGCGGCUGAGGAUGGGCCCGCGGCCUAUCAGCUUGGUUGGUGGGGNGAUGGCCUACCAAGGCGACGACGGGUAGCCGGCCUGAGAGGGCGACCGGCCACACUGGGACUGAGACACGGCCCAGACUCCUACGGGAGGCAGCAGUGGGGAAUCUUGCGCAAUGGGCGAAAGCCUGACGCAGCGACGCCGC
rnacentral:rRNA from 1 species